GACGAACGCUGGCGGCGUGCCUAAUACAUGCAAGUAGAACGCUGAAGGAGGAGCUUGCUUCUCUGGAUGAGUUGCGAACGGGUGAGUAACGCGUAGGUAACCUGCCUGGUAGCGGGGGAUAACUAUUGGAAACGAUAGCUAAUACCGCAUAAGAGUAGAUGUUGCAUGACAUUUGCUUAAAAGGUGCAAUUGCAUCACUACCAGAUGGUCCUGCGUUGUAUUAGCUAGUUGGUGGGGUAACGGCUUACCAAGGCGACGAUACAUAGCCGACCUGAGAGGGUGAUCGGCCACACUGGGACUGAGACACGGCCCAGACUCCUACGGGAGGCAGCAGUAGGGAAUCUUCGGCAAUGGACGGAAGUCUGACCGAGCAACGCCGCGUGAGUGAAGAAGGUUUUCGGAUCGUAAAGCUCUGUUGUAAGAGAAGAACGAGUGUGAGAGUGGAAAGUUCACACUGUGACGGUAGCUUACCAGAAAGGGACGGCUAACUACGUG
rnacentral:rRNA from 1 species